rnacentral:rRNA from 1 species
UACGGAAGGCAGCAGUGGGGAAUAUUGCACAAUGGGCGCAAGCCUGAUGCAGCCAUGCCGCGUGUAUGAAAAAGGCCUUCGGGUUGUAAAGUACUUUCAGUCGUGAGGAAGGUGUUAAGGUUAAUAACCUUAGCAAUUGACGUUAGCGACAGAAGAAGCACCGGCUAACUCCGUGCCAGCAGCCGCGGUAAUACGGAGGGUGCGAGCGUUAAUCGGAAUUACUGGGCGUAAAGGGCACGCAGGCGGUUAAUUAAGUUGGAUGUGAAAUCCCCCGGGCUUAACCUGGGAAUGGCAUUCAAGCUGGUUAGCUGAGUCUUGUAGAGGGGGUAGAAUUCCAUGUGUAGCGGUGAAAUGCGUAGAGAUGUGGAGGAAUACCGGUGGCGAAGGCGGCCCCUGGACAAAGACUGACGCUCAUGUGCGAAAGCGUGGGGAGCAAAC